rfam:Cavia porcellus supercont2_16 genomic scaffold, whole genome shotgun sequence.
UGGCGCCCAGCGUGGGGGCUCCUAGCACAGGGGAGUCAACAAGGGAGCCGUUAGAGAAAGCCGGCUGAAAGUGAAAGCAAAUUGAACCAAAGACCGUGGCAAGAAGUAGAAACAAACUAAAUCAAGGACUAAAGCUAAAAGCAAAAGCACAUUAAAUUAAGGACCGAGGCCUGCGCGGACAACUACUCGUCGUGCCGCCCAAGUUACAGUGACCCCAUUCCCUUUCCCGGACAUGGAUCAAGCAUUGAGCGAACACGAAUUGUUCGUGGGAGGCCUUAUAAAGGCAUUAAAGACAAGAGGGGUAAGGGUUAAAAUAAGAGAAUUAUUGCAGUAUUUUCAACUUCAUAAGGUUUGCCCUU